UACGAAGGGGGCUAGCGUUGUUCGGAAUUACUGGGCGUAAAGCGCGCGCAGGCGGUCUUCCAAGUCAGUGGUGAAAGCCCGGAGCUCAACUCCGGAACUGCCAUUGAAACUGUUAGACUUGAGGAUGAGAGAGGUGAGUGGAAUUCCGAGUGUAGAGGUGAAAUUCGUAGAUAUUCGGAAGAACACCAGUGGCGAAGGCGGACUCACUGGACUGGUAUUGACGCUGAGGUGCGAAAGCGUGGGGAGCAACAGGG
rnacentral:rRNA from 1 species